rnacentral:rRNA from 1 species
GACGAACGCUGGCGGCGUGCCUAACACAUGCAAGUCGAACGGAGAUAUGAUUUCGGUUAUAUCUUAGUGGCGAACGGGUGAGUAACGCGUGAGCAACCUGACUCUUAGAGGGGGAUAACACCCGGAAACGAGUGCUAAUACCGCAUAAGACCACGACAUGGCAUCAUGACGAGGUCAAAGGAGCAAUCCGCUGAGAGAGGGGCUCGCGUCCCAUUAGAUAGAUGGCGGGGUAACGGCCCACCAUGUCAGCGAUGGGUAGCCGAGCUGAGAGGCUGAUCGGCCACACUGGAACUGAGACACGGUCCAGACUCCUACGGGAGGCAGCAGUGGGGAAUAUUGGGCAAUGGGCGCAAGCCUGACCCAGCAACGCCGCGUGAGGGAAGAAGGCUUUCGGGUUGUAAACCUCUGUCCUUGGUGACGAAACAAAUGACGGUAGCCAAGGAGGAAGCCCCGGCUAACUACGUGCCAGCCGCCGCCGUAA